rnacentral:misc_RNA from 1 species
AGUAGUGGAGGAAAGAAAAGAAAAAUGCAAUAAAAUGCAAUUUAUGACAUCAAUGUGAUGUCAUUUGUAAUUUCCAACCAAUCACACUUAAGCACCCAUUUAACCAACAAAUAAAAUAGAUAAAUAAGACUAAAUAAAGACCAAAAGAAGACCAAAAACGUGGGCAGCCAUCUCCUUCUCCAUUUCAGCCACACCAUAGCCAAGAAGCAAACCUCCAUUGUUCUUCCUCACUCAAGCUUGAAGAUCUCUCAACCCUCACCCCAAAACCCUAAGUUAUCUUCACAAAAAUUAACCUAUACACCCUAAGCAAGCUCUAGGCAGCCACAAAGAGG